UCGAUUAGUUUGAUCAUGGCUCAGGACGAACGCUGGCGGCGUGCUUAACACAUGCAAGUCACGGGGGCUCGCAAGAGCAACCGGCGAACGGGUGCGUAACACGUGAGCAAUCCGCCGAUUUCUGGGGGAUAGCCGGCCCAACGGCCGGGUAAUACCGCAUACGUUCUCGAGGGGGAGUCCCCUUGGGAAGAAACUUCCGGGGGAAAUCGAGGAGCUCGCGGCCUAUCAGCUAGUUGGCGGUGUAAUGGACCACCAAGGCUAUGACGGGUAGCUGGUCUGAGAGGAUGGCCAGCCACAUUGGGACUGAGAGACGGCCCAGACUCCUACGGGAGGCAGCAGUGGGGAAUCUUGCGCAAUGGCCGAAAGGCUGACGCAGCGACGCCGCGUGUGGGAUGAAGCAUUUCGGUGUGUAAACCACUGUUGCCCGGGACGAACAGCUUCAUUCGAGGAGCCUGACGGUACCGGGUGAGGAAGCACCGGCUAACUCCGUGCCAGCAGCUGCGGUAAUACGG
rnacentral:rRNA from 1 species